CACUAACCCCAAACCCCAAACGCUUCCCCCCCCCCUCUCUCCCUGCUCCCUUUCUCCAUCCUCUCCUCCCGUUGACAUGACAACCGGGCGCUAUGCUAUAGCCUCGAGAUAUGUCAGAUGUGCAGCCGGCUUUAAAAUGAACUGCUUCGGUGGAAAUACAGAAUAGGAUUAAUUCAUCAUCUUCCUGUCAGUCGUUGACUGAUCGAGUAUUGAAACCCCCCCCACACUGUGUUUAUAAGAAAAUAAUAAUAAAAAUAAUAAUAACAAUAAUACAUGUCAAUGAUAAGCAUACAUAUUCCCCUUUUUUAUGACAACCCCUUUGUUCAAUGCCGGGACGGAGGCGUUGUGAGUUGUCAGUGAGAUUUAGUCUUUCUCGUUCUGCAUUGUACCCCAGUGCAGCAGUAUGGGCCGCUACGCCACUUUCAGUUUAUCCCCCCUGUCUCAGAGCCCGGGGGCAGGGUGGAGCAGAGGUUAGGGAACUGGGUUCGAACCCGAGCCUCGGACAGUUAAAUCCAAACGGAAGGUGACCGGUGUCCUUCCCCUGACUGAAGAGGGAACCUCCUCAUUCCCGAGCAGGCAGGAGCGAGCCGGGACGAUCCGUCAGUCCCGGAGCAGAGCGCCAGUCCAUCACCCGCCGACGGAGCGCGGAAUUUAUGGGCUCUGCAGUCGGCCUUGUCAUGGGCGGAUGUGAACAGCUUGUAACUCCACAGAUUAUACAUUAUGCCUUUAUUGUGGUGCUGUUUGGAUUCAGAACAUUACUCAGCCUAACUCAGGUCAAUAGGCCCUGGCCUUAUUUUGGGCUGUAGCCUUACGGUUAUACUCAAAGGCAGGUCGAUAGGGCCUGGCCUGGUUUUAGCCUUUAGCAUUAUGACCAUACUCAAAGCCAGGUCGAUAGGGCCUGGCCUGGUUUUAGCCUUUAGCAUGAUGGCCAUACUCAAAGGCAGGUCGAUAGGGCCUGGCCUGGUUUUAGCCUUUAGCCAGACUACAGUCACUGUCCAUAACAGUGUGAAUCUUGAGGAACGAUGGCAUUUAUUUGUUAGCUUUGCUUAGCUGUAGUGCCAUUUGCUUAUCAUGUUAAACACACUUACAAGGCAGA